CAUUCUGGCCUCUGUGCAGAGGGCAAGAAUAGAAGAAGAUCAGGUUAUCACAGUGGUUCAACAAGAUGACUGCAGCUCGGAGCUAGAGAUGACAAAAGCGGAGGGAUUUAGCAGGUCUUGGGGAAGAGAUGGCAAGACUUGCUGAUGGCGUAUAUGAAGGGAAUGACGGGGACAAGAAGGAUCGAGAGCGACACCUGAAUUAGACUGUAGCAGCUGUGCAGAGUGUGCUGUCACCCACUAAAGUGGUGAAGACCACAGGAGAAACAGUUUUUAUUUUCUCAGUGAAGUCUGAGAGAAAGGCGUCAACUAGACAUGAGGAGAGGAGGAAGCAAGUGUUGGAGCUUCAGGGAGAGAGAAGCUGUGAAAUGCUUCCUCGUACAGCAGGACAGUGAAUGACCAAGGGAAGUAAGUCCACAAAGAAUUCCAGUCAGCUGUCGCAUGCUUAGAGAAGAGAUCUUGUCUCUUUAAAAUAUUGCCAAAUGAAGCUAGCUGCCGGACCAGGGGCUUCUGUGAAGACACGUCCACUGUUCCCCUUCAGCUCCCUCUUUCACCGCCAACCCACUGCCAUCAAACUCUCCCCUUUCUCCACCAUCAGCACUUGCUUUUACAAAAUUAUCAUUACAAUAACAAGAGGACCUUUCAUUUUAAUAAAAGAUCUGGAAGGAUCUACACUAAAGUGUUAGCUGCUAUUUCUGCGUGAAGAGAUUAUGGAAUUUUUUUCUUAUUAUCAUGUAUGUGAAUAAUUAAUUAUGCAAACUAGUAUUGAUUUGGUGAUAAGAAAAUAAAAGUAAAAGUUUUUUCCCCUCCAAGAAAAAGAAUGCUUCAUCUUUUUAUGAGAAUUUACUCUCUAUAAAGGACUUUUAGUUCCAUUGCAUCAAUGGCACUUCCUAACCACCCUCUGAAUAAAUCAUUUAUUCCCACUUACAGAUGAGACCACCAAGAGGGAGAGAAGGGAAUUGUUUGGCUGCGGGUGACAAAGCUAGUAA
rnacentral:lncRNA from 1 species